AUUGAACGCUGGCGGCAUGCCUUACACAUGCAAGUCGAACGGUAACAGGUCUUCGGAUGCUGACGAGUGGCGAACGGGUGAGUAAUACAUCGGAACGUGCCUAGUAGUGGGGGAUAACUACUCGAAAGAGUGGCUAAUACCGCAUGAGAUCUACGGAUGAAAGCAGGGGAUCGCAAGACCUUGUGCUACUAGAGCGGCCGAUGGCAGAUUAGGUAGUUGGUGGGAUAAAAGCUUACCAAGCCGACGAUCUGUAGCUGGUCAGAGAGGACGAUCAGCCACACUGGGACUGAGAAGCGGCCCAGACUCCUACGGGAGGCAGCAGUGGGGAAUUUUGGACAAUGGGCGCAAGCCUGACCCAGCAAUGCCGCGUGCAGGAUGAAGGCCUUCGGGUUGUAAACUGCUUUUGUACGGAACGAAAAGCCCCGGGUUAAUACCCUGGGGUCAUGACGGUACCGUAAGAAUAAGCACCGGCUAACUACGUGCCAGCCGCCGCGGUAA
rnacentral:rRNA from 1 species